CCUACGGGAGGCAGCAGUGGGGAAUAUUGCACAAUGGGGGAAACCCUGAUGCAGCAACGCCGCGUGCGUGAAGAAGGUUUUCGGAUUGUAAAGCUCUGUUAGCAGGGAAGAGGAAGGACGGUACCUGCAGAGGCAGCCACGGCUCACUACGUGCCAGCAGCCGCGGUAAUACGUAGGUGGCAAGCGUUGUUUGGAAUAACUGGGCGUAAAGGAUGCGUAGGCGGUUAAACAAGUUAUAUGUUAAAUAUAUAGGCUUAACCUGUAGAAAGCAUAUAAAACUGUUUAACUAGAGUGCAGGAGAGGUAAGUGGAAUUCCGAGUGUAGCGGUGAAAUGCGUAGAUAUUAGGAGGAACACCAGUGGCGAAGGCGACUUGCUGGACUGUACCUGACGCUGAGGCGCGAAAGCGUGGGUAGCGAACGGGAUUAGAUACCCCUGUAGUC
rnacentral:rRNA from 1 species